CCUACGGGUGGCAGCAGUGGGGAAUAUUGCACAAUGGGGGGAACCCUGAUGCAGCGACGCCGCGUGGGUGAGGAAGUACUUCGGUAUGUAAAGCCCUAUCAGCAGGGAAGAAAAUGACGGUACCUGACUAAGAAGCCCCGGCUAACUACGUGCCAGCAGCCGCGGGAAUACGGAGGGGGCAAGCGUUAGCCGGAUUUACUGGGGGUAAAGGGAGCGUAGACGGCGUGCCAAGUCGGGUGUGAAAGGCCGGGGCUCAACCCCGGGACUGCAUUGGAUACUGGCAUGCUGGAGUGCCGGAGGGGCAAGCAGAAUUCCUAGUGUAGCGGUGAAAUGCGUAGAGAUUAGGAGGAACACCGGUGGCGAAGGCGGCUUGCUGGACGAUAACUGACGUUGAGGCGCGAAAGCGUGGGGAGCAAACAGGAUUAGAUACCCGAGUAGUC
rnacentral:rRNA from 1 species